rnacentral:rRNA from 1 species
GAUGAACGCUGGCGGUAUGCUUAACACAUGCAAGUCGAACGGACUCUUCGGAGUUAGUGGCGGACGGGUGAGUAACGCGUGAGAAUCUGGCUUUGGGUUCGGGACAACCACUGGAAACGGUGGCUAAUACCGGAUGUGCCGAGAGGUAAAAGAGAAAUUGCCUGAAGAUGAGCUCGCGUCUGAUUAGCUAGUUGGUGAGGUAAAGGCUCACCAAGGCAGCGAUCAGUAGCUGGUCUGAGAGGAUGACCAGCCACACUGGGACUGAGACACGGCCCAGACGACUACGGGAGGCAGCAGUGGGGAAUUUUCCGCAAUGGGCGAGAGCCUGACGGAGCAAUACCGCGUGAGGGAAGAAGGCUCUUGGGUUGUAAACCUCUUUUCUUAGGGAAGAACAAAAUGACGGUACCUAAGGAAUCAGCAUCGGCUAACUCCGUG